AGAGUUUGAUCCUGGCUCAGGAUGAACGCUAGCGACAGGCUUAACACAUGCAAGUCGAGGGGCAGCGGUGGUGAAGGCUUGCCUUUACCAGCCGGCGACCGGCGCACGGGUGAGUAACACGUAUGCAACCUGCCUGCCACAGCCGGAUAAUCGGGAGAAAUUCCGUCUAAUACGGCAUAAUGCACCUAUGGGACAUCCUGUUGGUGCCAAAGGUUGAUUCCGGUGGCGGAUGGGCAUGCGUCGCAUUAGUUAGUUGGCGGUGUAACGGACCACCAAGACGACGAUGCGUAGGGGUUCUGAGAGGAAGGUCCCCCACACUGGUACUGAGACACGGACCAGACUCCUACGGGAGGCAGCAGUGAGGAAUAUUGGUCAAUGGGCGGGAGCCUGAACCAGCCAAGUCGCGUGAGGGAUGACGGCCCUAUGGGUUGUAAACCUCUUUUGCCGGGGAGCAAAGUGCCGCACGUGUGCGGUUUGGAGAGUACCCGGAGAAAAAGCAUCGGCUAACUCCGUGCCAGCAGCCGCGGUAAUACGGAGGAUGCGAGCGUUAUCCGGAUUUAUUGGGUUUAAAGGGUGCGUAGGCGGACGCUUAAGUCAGCGGUAAAAUUGCGGGGCUCAACCCUCGUCGAGCCGUUGAAACUGGGUGCCUUGAGUGGGCGAGAAGUACGCGGAAUGCGUGGUGUAGCGGUGAAAUGCAUAGAUAUCACGCAGAACUCCGAUUGCGAAGGCAGCGUACCGGCGCCCAACUGACGCUGAAGCACGAAGGCGUGGGUAUCGAACAGGAUUAGAUACCCUGGUAGUCCACGCAGUAAACGAUGAAUGCUAGUUGUCCGGGGCGAUUGAGUUCUGGGUGACACAGCGAAAGCGUUAAGCAUUCCACCUGGGGAGUACGCCGGCAACGGUGAAACUCAAAGGAAUUGACGGGGGCCCGCACAAGCGGAGGAACAUGUGGUUUAAUUCGAUGAUACGCGAGGAACCUUACCCGGGCUCAAACGCAGGAGGGAUGUUUUUGAAAGGAGGCAGCCAGCAAUGGUCUCCUGCGAGGUGCUGCAUGGUUGUCGUCAGCUCGUGCCGUGAGGUGUCGGCUUAAGUGCCAUAACGAGCGCAACCCCUACCUACAGUUGCCAUCGCGUGAUGGCGGGCACUCUGUGGGGACUGCCUGCGCAAGCAGUGAGGAAGGCGGGGAUGACGUCAAAUCAGCACGGCCCUUACGUCCGGGGCGACACACGUGUUACAAUGGCAGGUACAGCGGGAAGCCACCCGGCGACGGGGCGCGGAACCCGAAAACCUGUCUCAGUUCGGAUUGGAGUCUGCAACCCGACUCCAUGAAGCUGGAUUCGCUAGUAAUCGCGCAUCAGCCACGGCGCGGUGAAUACGUUCCCGGGCCUUGCACACACCGCCCGUCAAG
rnacentral:rRNA from 1 species